GAAACAAAGAGGGCACUAAUGUGGCAAAAUGUUAGCAUGUCUUAAAUCUGGAUGGAAGGUUUGAAUUUAUUAAGGAAAAUAAAAGAAAAAGAAAACACAAACAGACUACAUCUAAAAACUUCCAUGGAAACCUCAGACAUAUUUUUUUUCAUUGUUUAAAGGAUCAGUAUCUUCCCUAACUUUAAAAGAAAGUAAGCAUUUCCCCCACUCCUCUACCUCCAUUGAAUACAUCAUCUCAUGCUAUCUUUUCUAACUCCAUCAUGUUCUUUUGCCCUUUCUCUUCCCACCAAAAUCACACUCUUUCAGGUUCAUUACCAAAUCUGUCAUGGUCAUGAACAUUACCAUGUAUUUAGUGAUAUAUAUUUCCAAAUGUAUUUUUCUCUCCCUAGAGCCUCUUGCCUGUCCAUUCAUCCAAAGCUUCCAGGACAAAUUCAAUUUUGAUGAGGAAAAUACCCUUUUCAAAAUCUGACACUGGUUCUCCAACUGCUAUAUACCAUGGUCCAAACUCCUCAGCUGGGUGUUUGAAGUCCUCCG
rnacentral:lncRNA from 1 species